GUGGGGAAUAUUGGACAAUGGGGGGAACCCUGAUCCAGCCAUGCCGCGUGUGUGAAGAAGGCCUUUUGGUUGUAAAGCACUUUAAGCGAGGAGGAGGCUACCGAGAUUAAUACUCUUGGAUAGUGGACGUUACUCGCAGAAUAAGCACCGGCUAACUCUGUGCCAGCAGCCGCGGUAAUACAGAGGGUGCAAGCGUUAAUCGGAUUUACUGGGCGUAAAGCGCGCGUAGGUGGCCAAUUAAGUCAAAUGUGAAAUCCCCGAGCUUAACUUGGGAAUUGCAUUGGAUACUGGUGGGCUAGAGUAUGGGGGAGGAUGGUAGAAUUCCAGGUGUAGCGGUGAAAUGCGUAGAGAUCUGGAGGAAUACCGAUGGCGAAGGCAGCCAUCUGGCCUAAUACUGACACUGAGGUGCGAAAGCAUGGGGAGCAAACAGGAUUAGAUACCCUGGUAGUCC
rnacentral:rRNA from 1 species